CUACGGGCCGCUGCAGUGGGGAAUAUUGCGCAAUGGACGAAAGUCUGACGCAGCGACGCCGCGUGGAGGAUGAAGGUUCUCGGAUCGUAAACUCCUGUCAAGAGGGAAGAAACCUAUCAUGAAUAAUACUCAUGGUAAUUGACGGUACCUCUAGAGGAAGCACCGGCUAAUUCAGUGCCAGCAGCCGCGGUAAUACUGAAGGUGCAAGCGUUAAUCGGAAUCACUGGGCGUAAAGCGCUCGUAGGUGGCUUUGUAAGUCAGGUGUGAAAGCCCACGGCUCAACCGUGGAAUUGCACUUGAUACUGCAUGGCUAGAGUACAGGAGAGGGAAGUGGAAUUUCUGGUGUAGGAGUGAAAUCCGUAGAGAUCAGAAGGAACACCUGUGGCGAGGGCGGCUUCCUGGACUGUUACUGACACUGAGGAGCGAAAGCGUGGGGAGCAAACAGGAUUAGAUACCCCCGUAGUC
rnacentral:rRNA from 1 species